rnacentral:miRNA from 1 species
UGCAUUUUUUGGUAAGACGAUGUUAACAAAAGUUGUUCGUCUUAAUGAGGGCUACAACUUUGCUUAAUAUUCUUUUAACAAAUGAUGCGUAUUUAAGAAGAUAAGUCUGCGCAUGCGCAGGACGUAACUCCUUACGCUUGCAUUUUUUGGUAAGACGAUGUUAACAAAAGUUGUUCGUCUUGAUGAGGGCUACAACUUUUCUUAAUAUCCUUUUAACAAAUUAUGCG